rnacentral:lncRNA from 1 species
GAGAGCAAGUAGAGAGAGUAAUCCCACAAAGUUAUGAGGUAUUUGUGAGAAAGUAAGUGAGGUGUUUUCUCCUAGUAAUAGAGAGAUUUCAGUUGUUCUCCUAUUGUUAGAGAGAGGUUGUAAUUCCCACAUUACUUAGUAAAAUCCUUCUAUACUUGUCCGUGGACGUAGCCAAAUUGGGUGAACCACGUAAAUUCUUGUGUGUCUAAUUUCUCACUUUAUCCUAUCAUUUGCCUUUUAUCUUGUCGGGUUUGCAUGCCAGUAUCCUAACAGUGGUAUCAGAGCCUUCUGGUUGGCGUUGUUAAUACACAAAAGUUAUUCGUGUAUACGGUUACUAUUCACGUCUACGACACUAUUCACCUAUACGACACUAUUCAUCCAUACGGUACUGUUCACAUACGUUACUGUUGGCGUAUAUAGAAAGUCAGUGCGGUGAUUAAAUACAGUCUAGGAAGUUCUGUCUAAGGAGAUUGGGUUUUAAGCGGGACCGUUUGUGACCCCUCCAAUCUUUCCUGGGAACUUACUUAGUGAAGUAUUAUUCACACGAUACUAUUUCUAUAUACGUUACAGAUCUGUGAAACGGUGAUAGCUGAAUAGAUCACGGUGAAUAAAAUGGCAGCAAAGUAUGAGAUUGAGAGGUUCAAUGGGAGCAAUUUCUCACUCUGGAAAAUGAGAAUCAAAGCAAUCUUAAGGAAAGACAAUUGCUUGGCAGCAAUUGGGGAUCGGCCCGCGGAGAUCACUGAUAAUGCAAAAUGGAAUGAGAUGGAUGGCAAUGCUAUUGCUAACAUACAUUUAGCAUUAGCCGAUGAAGUAUUAUCAAGUGUGGCGGAGAAGAAAACAGCUAAAGAGAUAUGGGAGACUCUAACAAAACUAUAUGAGUCCAAGUCUUUGCACAAUAAGAUUUUCUUAAAGCGGAGACUUUAUACCCUUCGAAUGGCAGAAACCACGGCGGUGACUGACCACAUCAACACAAUAAGAACUCUAUUUUCACAACUCACUACGUUGGGUCAACAAAUAGAGGAAAGUGAACGUGCAGAGCUUCUACUUCAAAGUCUCCCAGAUUCGUAUGAUCAGCUCAUUAUCAACUUGACCAAUAAUAUCCUCACAGACUAUUUAGUCUUUGAUGAUGUUGCAGCCGCUAUCUUGGAAGAAGAAAAUAGGCGCAAAAAUAAAGGAGACAGAAAUAGUUCAAACCAAGCAGAGGCAUUAUUGGUGUCAAGAGGGAGAUCAACGGAGCGUGGCUCCAGUGGGAGUCAAAGGCAAGGGAGGUCCAAAUCAAGAAGUAAGAAGGCUGUGAAAUGCUACAACUGUGGCAGAAAAGGGCACUUUAAAAAGGAUUGUUGGUUUAAAAGGGGUAUAGAGAAUACUGCAGAGUCAUCAAAACCUCAAGGAUGUGUUGCAAGCACCUCAGAAGAUGGAGAGGUUUUAUAUAGUGAAGCAGCAACAAUCUCUACAGAUAGAAAAGAGCUCACAGAGGUUUGGGUAAUGGAUUCAGGAGCAACAUGGCAUAUGACUCCUAAUCGAGAUUGGUUUCAUACAUACGAACCCACCUCUGGAGGCUCAGUGUUCAUGGGUGAUAAUCAUGCUUUAGAGAUUGCUGGCAUUGGCACCAUAAAAUUGAAGAUGUAUGAUGGCUUAAUUCGUACUAUUACAGGAGUGCGUCAUGUGAAAGACUUAAAGAAAAAUCUUUUGUCCGUGGGACAAUUUGAUAGUCUUGGCUGUAAGAUCCGAACAGACAAUGGAAUAAUGAAAAUUGUCAAAGGAGCGCUGGUAGUUUUAAAGGCAAGAAAGACAGUUGCAAACAUGUUUGUAUUAAUGGGAGAAACACAUCAUGGGGCAGAAGCAUCAAUUGCAUCAGCCAGUCCUGCAGAAGAGAAGACGAUGAUGUGGCAUCAAAAACUAGGCCACAUGUCAGAGAAAGGUUUGAAAGUUCUCUCUGAUCAGAAGUUACUCCCUGGGCUUACAAAGGUUACUUUACCCUUUUGUGAGCAUUGUGUUACAAGCAAACAACACAGGUUGAAGUUUGGCACAUCAACAACUAAGAGCAAAUGCAUCUUAGACCUGAUUCACUCUGAUGUUUGGCAAGCACCGGUUGUAUCCCUGGGAGGAGCAAGAUACUUUGUAUCAUUUAUAGAUGACUUCUCCAGGAGAUGUUGGGUGUACCCAAUUAGAAGGAAGGCAGAUGUGCUCGCAGUCUUUAAAACUUUCAAAGCGCGGGUGGAACUUGAAUCUGAAAAGAAGAUCAAGUGUUUGAGGACUGACAAUGGAGGAGAAUAUACCAGUGAUGAAUUUGAUAACUUCUGUCAACAUGAAGGUAUCAAAAGGCAGUUCACAACGGCAUACACUCCACAACAAAAUGGAGUGGCAGAGCGGAUGAACAGAACUCUAUUAGAAAGAACGAGAGCAAUGUUGAAGGCUGCAGGUCUAGGAAAGUCAUUCUGGGCAGAAGCAGUCAAUACCGCCUGUUAUGUGAUAAAUCGAUCUCCAUCAACUGCAAUUGAGCUGAAGACACCGAUGGAGAUGUGGACUGGAAAGCCAGCUGAUUAUUCUCAAUUACAUAUAUUUGGAAGUCCUGUGUACGUAAUGUACAAUACUCAAGAAGUCAACAAGCUGGAUUCAAAAUCCAGAAAAUGUGUAUUCUUGGGAUAUGCUGAUGGAGUGAAGGGGUAUCGCUUGUGGGAUCCCACUGCCCACAAGGUAGUCAUCAGCAGAGAUGUUAUAUUUGCAGAAGGUAAAAUGCAAAUGGAAGAACAUAAUAGCAUUCCAAAGGAGACUACAGCAGUCCAGAUGGAAAAUACUCAGAAUCAUACUUCUUCUGAAGCUGCACCAGAGCAUGAAGAACAAGAACAAAUAGAGUCUGAAACUCCUGAAGUUCGACGAUCAACUCGUGAAAGAAGACCACCGGCUUGGCACUCAGAAUAUGUUACUGAGAGCAACAUUGCAUACUGUCUUCUAACAGAGGAUGGAGAGCCAUCAACUUUCCAUGAGGCUAUCAAAAGCACAGAUGUAUCUAUGUGGAUGACAGCAAUGCAAGAGGAGAUUGAAGCUCUACACAAGAACAACACUUGGGAUCUUGUUCCGCUACCACAAGGAAGGAAGGCCAUUGGCAACAAAUGGGUUUACAAGAUAAAGCGUGAUGGCAAUGAUCAAGUGGAGCGGUAUCGUGCAAGAUUGGUGGUGAAAGGAUAUGCUCAGAAAGAAGGAAUAGACUUUAAUGAGAUAUUUUCUCCAGUGGUACGACUUACUACAAUCAGAGUAGUCUUGGCGAUGUGUGCUAUAUUUGAUCUUCACUUAGAGCAGUUAGAUGUGAAAACUGCAUUUCUUCAUGGAGAACUUGAAGAAGAAAUUUAUAUGCUCCAACCAGAGGGUUUUGCUGAAACAGGCAAGGAGAACUUGGUUUGCAGGUUGAACAAAUCUCUAUACGGUCUCAAACAGGCGCCGAGGUGUUGGUACAAGAGAUUUGAUUCCUUCAUAAUUAGCCUUGGGUACAACAGACUCAGUUCAGACCAUUGUACGUAUUACAAGAGGUUUGAAGAAGAUGAUGUUUUCAUCAUUUUGUUGUUGUACGUGGAUGACAUGUUGGUAAUAGGCCCCAACAAAGAUCGAGUCCAAGAAUUGAAGGCACAAUUGGCUAGGGAGUUCGAUAUGAAGGACUUGGGACCAGCAAACAAGAUUCUAGGGAUGCAAAUUCACCGAGACAGAAGUAAGAGGAAGAUUUGGCUUUCUCAGAAGAAUUAUCUGAAGAAGAUCUUGUGUCGCUUCAACAUGCAAGAUUGUAAGCCAAUUUCCACCCCACUUCCUGUUAACUUCAAAUUAUCCUCAAGUAUGUCUCCUAGCAAUGAAGCAGAGAGGAUGGAGAUGUCUCGAGUACCGUAUGCAUCAGCAGUGGGAAGUUUAAUGUUUGCCAUGAUAUGUACAAGACCAGACAUUGCACAAGCAGUGGGAGCAGCUAGUCGAUACAUGGCAAAUCCUGGUAGAGAGCAUUGGAAUACUAUUAAGAGGAUCUUGAGAUACAUCAAGGGCACCUCAGAUGUUGCAUUAUGUUAUGGAGGAUCAGAAUUUACCGUCAGAGGUUAUGUUGAUUCAGAUUUUGCUGGCAACCUUGAGAAAAGAAAAUCCACUACAGGCUAUGUGUUCAUAAUUGCAGGAGGAGCUGUGAGCUGGGUCUCUAAACUUCAGACUGUUGUAGCUUUAUCCACAACAGAAGCUGAGUACAUGGCAGCUACACAAGCUUGUAAAGAAGCAAUAUGGAUGAAGAAACUUAUGGAGGAGCUCGGGCACAAACAAGACAACAUUCUUUUGUAUUGUGAUAGUCAGAGUGCUUUGCAUAUUGCAAGGAAUCCCGCGUUUCAUUCAAGAACAAAACACAUAGAUGUUCAGUAUCACUUUGUUCGCGAAGUAGUGGAAGAUGGAAGUGUAGAUUUUCAAAAGGUUCACACGAAAGAAAACCCAGCAGAUGCUUUAACCAAACCAGUCAACACUGACAAGUACAUAUGGUGCAGAUCCUCUUAUGGCCUAACAGAAACGUAAGCAGCAUGAAGAUGACAAGUAUAGAAAGGAUAGAAGAAUCACAGAUGAUUAAGUGUGAAGACUUGAUUCACUCAUCAAAGUCUUCAAGUGGGAGAAUGUGAAGCCAGCUGCAUUGUUGGCAAAGUCAACAAUGUUAGGCACCAAAUUGGUGCUGCAAAUUCAACAAAGUUGGGCACCAAUUCGGUGCCACUUGCAGCACCAAUUGGUGCCCCUUUGUCCUUUGCUUGGAUGCUUGCCUAUAAAUAGGCAGUGCAUCCAAGCUUAUUUAACACACCACAAGAGAGAAAUUUGAGAGCAAGUAGAGAGAGUGAAGAGAGAGUAAUCCCACAAAGUUGUGAGGUAUUUGUGAGAAAGUAAGUGAGGUGUUUUCUCCUAGUAAUAGAGAGAUUUCAGUUGUUCUCCUAUUGUUAGAGAGAGGUUGUAAUUCCCACAUUACUUAGUAAAAUCCUUCUAUACUUGUCCGUGGACGUAGCCAAAUUGGGUGAACCACGUAAAUUCUUGUGUGUCUAAUUUCUCACUUUAUCCUAUCAUUUGCCUUUUAUCUUGUCGGGUUUGCAUGCCAGUAUCCUAACAAG